rnacentral:rRNA from 1 species
UACAGAGGUCUCGAGCGUUAGGCGGAAUCACUGGGCUUAAAGCGUGUGUAGGUGGAUCGUUAAGUACCUUGUGAAAUCCCAUGGCUCAACCAUGGAACUGCUUGGUAUACUGGGUGUCUUGAGCCAGCUAGGGGCUACCGGAACAAAUGGUGGAGCGGUGAAAUGCGUAGAUAUCAUUUGGAACGCCAAUGGUGAAAACAGGUAGCUGGGGCUGUGCUGACGCUGAGACACGAAAGCCAGGGGAGCGAACGGG